GAUGAACGCUGGCGGCGUGCCUAAUACAUGCAAGUCGAGCGAAUGGACGAGAAGCUUGCUUCUCUGAUGUUAGCGGCGGACGGGUGAGUAACACGUGGAUAACCUACCUAUAAGACUGGGAUAACUUCGGGAAACCGGAGCUAAUACCGGAUAAUAUUUUGAACCGCAUGAUUCAAAAGUGAAAGACGGUCUUGCUGUCACUUAUAGAUGGAUCCGCGCUGCAUUAGCUAGUUGGUAAGGUAACGGCUUACCAAGGCAACGAUGCAUAGCCGACCUGAGAGGGUGAUCGGCCACACUGGAACUGAGACACGGUCCAGACUCCUACGGGAGGCAGCAGUAGGGAAUCUUCCGCAAUGGGCGAAAGCCUGACGGAGCAACGCCGCGUGAGUGAUGAAGGUCUUCGGAUCGUAAAACUCUGUUAUUAGGGAAGAACAUAUGUGUAAGUAACUGUGCACAUCUUGACGGUACCUAAUCAGAAAGCCACGGCUAACUACGUG
rnacentral:rRNA from 1 species